AACUUUCGACAAUGGAUCUCUUGGCUCUCGCAUCGAUGGAGAACGCAGCGAAUUGCGAUAUGUAAUGUGAAUUGCAGAAUUCAGUGAAUCAUCGAAUCUUUGAACGCACCUUGCGCCCUUUGGUAUUCCGAAGGGCAUGCCUGUUUGAGUGUCAUUAAAUUCUCAACUUCAAAAUUCUGUUUUGAAGCUUGGAUGUUGGAGGGUUUGCAGGCAAUUUUGAUUGUCAGCUCCUCUUAAAUGCAUUAGCAAAACUUGUACGUUCGGCUCUGGUUUGAUAAUACUAUCUAUGCCGUUGCUGAAAGGUCUUUUGUUCAGCUUCUGAUGGUCCAUCCUUUUGGACUGUCUCUUUGGAGGCAUAUCUUUGACUUGACCUCAAAUCAGGUAGGACUACCCGCUGAACUUAAGCAUAUCAAUAAGCGGAGGCU
rnacentral:misc_RNA from 1 species